CCUACGGGAGGCAGCAGUCGAGAAUCUUCGGCAAUGGGCGCAAGCCUGACCGAGCGACGCCGCGUGCGGGAUGAAGGCCUUCGGGUUGUAAACCGCUGUCAGAGGGGAUGAAAUGCAGGUGGGUUCUCCCAUUUGUUUGACAUAGCCUCAGAGGAAGGACGGGCUAAGUUCGUGCCAGCAGCCGCGGUAAGACGAACCGUCCAAACGUUAUUCGGAAUUACUGGGCUUAAAGGGUGCGUAGGCGGCGCGGAAAAGUUGGGUGUGAAAUCCCUCGGCUCAACCGAGGAACUGCGCCCAAUACUGCCGUGCUCGAGGGAGAUAGAGGUGAGCGGAACUUAGGGUGGAGCGGUGAAAUGCGUUGAUAUCCUAAGGAACACCGGUGGCGAAAGCGGCUCACUGGAUCUCUUCUGACGCUGAGGCACGAAAGCUAGGGUAGCGAACGGGAUUAGAUACCCCGGUAGUCCCUAGCCGUAAACGAUGAGCACUGAUGAGGUACGUCCAUAGCUUCUGUCGCACGAAGACGUAAGUGCUCCGCCGUCGGGAGGUAGUGGUCGCGAGGCGACGAACGUACGAAAGGAAGUUAGACGGCGUGAGACGUCGCCGAACGGACGACGACGAGGGAGGUUAGG
rnacentral:rRNA from 1 species